AAAUUUUAAAACAUUGAAAGCUCUCAUGAUUUUUAAAAAAUCAAUAUUUGGUAUUUCAGUUCUGCAAAGGAACUAGGAACUGUUUCAGAGAAGCACAGAAAUCCAAAGCCAGAAGAGAAUAACCCAAUAUUCUGACAUUUUGAAGUUGUUAAGAAAAGCAAGAUAUUUGAAAGAUUCGAACUAAAACAUCUGGUACUGGUAAUACAUCAGAGGCCUGAAGUUCAAGUCACGUUAUAUUGGAAGGUAAAGUUUAGUGUUUUCCGUGUAUACAAAUACCUGUC
rnacentral:lncRNA from 1 species